CUUCGUUUAGCGAUUAAUAAACGUUGGGACUUCGAUAUUGUUGGACGUUCGCUUCAGAGUUCUGUGUUCCAGAAAUUUCUGAGGACCCGUGGAUGUAAUUACUCUCGAAAAUUCGUCCUGUUUCGUCCAGUUAAAGUUUCAUAUUGUUCAAUCUUGGGAUUAUUGAUCGUAACUUUUUUUACAAAUACUAUCUGAUCAACUGUUUUCCAAAAUGUCCUUGUUCGGAUCACUGAUGGGUGAUCUUGAUGAUGAUCCUAUUUUUGGGUCUCACAUGCAAUCAAUGAGACAAAUGUACUCAUUGUUUAAUGAUCCAUUUGGCAUGAUGGGUCAUCCCUGUCAUAAUGCCAUCGCAGACGGUAAUCAUAGAAGCAGGAAUCGUCAAAAUGAUCUUCAAAUGAUGCCUUUUGUAUUUCCACCAAUGCCAUCAUUUAAUAUGGUCAAUUUGUUUGGAGACUUUGAUAACAUGGCAUCAAAUGGAAACUGUCAUUCUUUCACUUCAAGAUCUGUAAUGACUAUGGCUAGUGGUCCUGAUGGACGUCCACAAGUUUAUCAAGAAACUAUGUCUACAACAACUGCACCUGGUGGCGUAAAAGAAACAAAGAAAACUGUUUGUGAUUCUCGUACUGGAGUGAAAAAAAUGGCUAUCGGUCAUCACAUUGGAGAAAGAGCACAUAUUUUGGAGAGAGAGCAAAAUGUUCACAGUGGUGAACAAGAAGAACGUCAAGAAUUCAUUAAUCUUGAUGAAGAAGAAGCAGAGAGUUUUAAUAAUGAAUGGGAAACGCGCACUCGCCGCGGAGUCGGUGCUGUAGGCAAUUCUCAUUAUGGUAAUCAUCAUGGUCAUAGAAACCGCACUGAUCAUAGGCAAUUGGCUUUACCUGAUCCAUCAGGAAGUGUGCAUAAAAAAUCCAGAAGACGAACCAGUAAAAAAAAGUGAAGGGCAACAUGGGAUCACAUCAUGCUAUGUCACUUCUAUCUCAGUCUAUGCAUUCCCUAUCAAAAUUUUGUAUCAAGCAUUACAAUAAAAACAAUACUUUCACCACACAACAUUGAAGUAAAGCUAUCAUAUAAUUUAUGUAUUAUUAUUUAUUAACUGAUGUGUACAUCAGUACAAUAAGGAUAGUUUAAGGACAAUAAAUCGUGACAUAUUUUUCAACUUUAAAUCUAGAUUAUAGUAUCUUAUAGCAAUGUAAAACCGUCAAAAUUAUAAGUACAAUAAAUAAAACAAAUAUGUCAUUAAAUCACGUAAUAUUGCACUUGAUGUCUCUUUCAUUCAAUGUAUAAACAUAAACUGAAUUUCAACUUUAAUCAAUAAUUUGGUGGAACUCGUCGAUAUUCUAAUUCUUCGAGACGGACACCUCUUAGAUGUAGUUUAAAAUCUCCAUCUACAUCUAGAAUGUACAGCCCAACUCAUACUUUAA